ensembl:lncRNA
UUUUCUUGCAGCAGGAUGGUGCUUGCUUGCAAGUCAACACCGUGUUUAAUCUGCAUGCCGCCUAAGAAGCUGUGGUUUUAUUGGGUUGAACCAGGACCCUGACACAGAGAUAAGCAACCUGCCCAAAGUCACACAGCAAGUAAAUGGCAGAGAAGGAAUUCAGAUCCAAAGCCUUCCUGGGAGCUGGACUGGUGGCAGUUUCCUGAAGGUGGAAUGUGAAGAUCAAGAUAUACCUCGUGGGCUAAACCUCUGACGCUCACAUAAUAUUUAAUCAUCAAACCGCUGGGAUUGGCCAUGAUGCUGAGAAAGAAAAAACUCUGGUGGCAGCAGAGGACCACAGCAGCAAGAUCACAACCAGGCUUCUCCGCUGGCCCAGCGGUAAAGAAAUUGCCUGCCAACGCAGGAGAUACAGG